UGUCUCACAGUAACUGGAUUACAGAGAUCUGGAUUACAUUUGUCCUCCACAUGCUUAGCCUGGGUUUAUUAUUUGCUUAGUACAAACGGGGGGUUCAAGAGGGAAAUAGAAGAAACAAGAACCUGGGAGUCAGUUGUGAAUUUAAAGCUGCCGAUGGCACAGCACAGGAGCAGAUUCUGCUGCACACUGAUGCAUCUCACAGUCAGGAGGGUCAGUCACAGGAGGACAGUCAUGUAGAGAUCCUAGACAGCGAGAGAGGAGGUGGUUCAAAAGAGUCUAUGUCAUGCUGGAACAAACAUACCUGAACGGGUCGACACGGCUUGUCAGCUACUUACAUUCACACUCUAACAUCUCUAACCCAGCAGCUUCACUUCAAUUCACACUUUGCAGCGGCUGUGACAGACAGGAUCAACCCUGGGAAGACCCGCCAUUCACAACUUCAGUUAAGUGAUUUAAAGCAGUUAAUGUGUGAAAGACCUUCAAAUAAAGACUACAUCAUGAGGGACAGAUGGGCGGAAAUUUUAGGGGAAACUGCUGUAAUUAUAAUAAUGCCACAUUUUUAUAAUAAAUUGUUUUUUUAUUA